GGAAAAAAAAAAAAAAAAAAAAAAAAGGGAGUGCCUUUUUUCUGGGUUGGAAGGGCGCGUGAGUGGGGUGUUUGGGUUGGGGGGUUCGUACAGUUGCAAAGUUCACACCCAUAGUCCCAUACCAUUCUCACUCACACACACACUGCUGUUCUCUCUCUCUCUCUCUCCCUCUCUCUCUUUAUACAUAUAUAUAUAUAUAUAGAUAUAUAUUUAUAUAUAUGUGCACACCAAAAUCAAACCGAAACUGAAACCCCGCACUUUGGAGCUAGCUCUCUCUCCGGCACACAAAACCCUAAAACGCAUAUGGUGAUUCUCAACCUGAAACGACGUCGGCCCGGCUUUUUCUUCUUAACCAACAGAGCAUUUUGAGACUUCAGAACCCGGGUUUCGAUCAGUGUAGGCUACAAUUAUUGCUUGAGCUCGUUUAACCAUGAGAAACCCUUUAAGGUAAACCCAAAAAAAAAAAAAACAAUAAUAAUAAAGUCAUACAAAGUUGAUCUAUCUGGAAUGGACAUUCAAGUGGUAGAUGGUGAAGGGGGAAACAGUGAACAUCGUGUGGAGGAAAGUAUCCUACUGGAUAAGAGUGAAAAACAAAAUGAAAGUUCAACAGGGAGAGAUGUAAUUAGUCAGGAUGAUGAUGGUGAUGCUACUCCUCAUGUGGGCAUGGAGUUUGAUACAGAAGAUGCUGCCAAGACUUUCUAUGAUGGAUAUGCCAGACGUGUUGGUUUUAGCACCCAUGUUGGUCAGUUUAGUCGUUCUAAGCCUGAUGGACCAAUUGUGGCAUGGGACUUUGCAUGUUCUAGAGAGGUAUUUAGACGGAAGAAUGUAGAAAGCUGCAAUGCUGUGCUAAGAAUAGAAAGAAAGGAUUCAAACAGUUGGGUUGUGACCAAGUUUGUUGAGGAACACAAUCAUUCUAUGGUGAGUCCUAGUAAGGUCCAUUACCUUCGACCCCGUAGACAUUUUGCUGGUGCUACAAAGAACGUGGCUGAUACGUUGGACGCAACAGGUGAAAUUUAUGUUUCCCUGGAUGGCAAUAAUGUUUCUUAUGAACCUAAUCAUGGAGUUAGGAGUGUCUCCCCUGCAGACACAAAUCGUCAAGCACGAAAUGUUGGGCUAGUGAACUACAUAAGGCCUUCUACUCGAAAGAGAACCCUCGGAAGAGAUGCUCAAAAUCUUCUAAACUAUUUCAAGAAGAUGCAGGCUGAAAACCCAGGCUUUUAUUAUGCAAUACAGCUUGAUGAUGAAAACCGCAUGACUAAUGUCUUUUGGGCUGAUGCACGAUCAAGGACAGCCUAUAACUACUUUGGUGAUGCUGUAAUAUUUGACACAAUGUACCGACCAAAUCAGUUCCAGGUCCCAUUCGCUCCUUUCACAGGAAUAAAUCAUCAUGGGCAGAUGGUAUUGUUUGGUUGUGCUUUACUUCUAGAUGAGUCUGAGUCUUCAUUUACUUGGCUGUUUAGGACUUGGCUUUCUGCAAUGAAUGACCGCCACCCUGUUUCAAUAACCACAGACCAAGAUAGAGCCAUACAAGCUGCGGUUGCUCAUGUAUUUCCUGAAACUCGUCAUUGUAUAUGCAAAUGGCACAUCUUGAGAGAAGGCCAAGAAAGAUUAGCUCAUAUUUAUCUUGCUCAUCCUUCCUUCUAUGGUGAGCUGUAUAGCUGCAUCAACUUUUCAGAAACUAUUGAGGAUUUUGAAUCAUCAUGGGCAUCUCUUCUUGAUAGAUAUGAUCUCCACAGAAAUGAAUGGCUACUGGCAGUGUAUAAUGCACGAAAGCAGUGGGCCCCAGUUUAUUUUCGUGGCACUUUCUUUGCUUCACUUUCCUCAAACCAAGGAAUUAGCUCCUUUUUUGAUGGCUAUGUGAAUCAACAGACAACAAUACCGCUAUUUUUCAAGCAGUAUGAGGUAGCUCUCGAACAUUCGUUGGAAAAAGAAAUAGAAGCAGAUUAUGAUACAAUCUGUACCACACCAGUACUUAAAACGCCUUCACCAAUGGAACAGCAGGCAGCAAACCUGUACACAAAAAAGGUCUUUUCUAAGUUUCAGGAUGAAUUGGUAGAAACUUUUGUGUAUACUGCAAAUAAGAUCGAGGGUGAUGGGGUAGUUAGUAAAUACCGGGUUGCAAAAUAUGAACAGGAUGACAAGGCUUACAUGGUCACGUUAAAUGUUUCAGAGAUGAAAGCAAAUUGCAGUUGUCAAAUGUUUGAAUAUUCUGGCAUUCUCUGUAGACAUAUAUUAACAGUCUUUACUGUAACAAAUGUUCUUACUCUUCCAUCCCAUUACAUAUUGAAGCGAUGGACAAGGAAUGCCAAAUAUGCGGUUGGACUGGAUGAACCAAACUCCGAUCCACAAGGUGUUGAAAACCUUACCAUGCGCUUCAACAAUUUAUGCCAGGAAGCCAUUAAAUAUGCUGAGGAAGGGGCAAUUGCUGUAGAAACUUAUAAUGCUGCAAUGAGUGCACUGCGAGAGAGUGGCAAAAAAAUUGCUGUUAUGAAGAAAAAUGUUGCUAAAGUCACUCCUCCUAACUCUCAAGGAAGUGGAAAUAGUCAGGAAGACAUUAACAAGAAAGCAUCUCUGCCACUUUCUGAAAUGGUUCCCUCAUUGUGGCCUUGGCAGGAUGCAAUGCCACAUCGUUUCAAUCUUAAUGAUGUUGGAGUUCCUGUUGCUGAUCUAAAUCAGCCCAUGAUGGCUCCCGUGUCUAUUCACCAUGACAGUGGCCCUUCUGAUAACACUGUUGUCCUUACUUGUUUUAAGUCCAUGACUUGGGUCAUAGAAAAUAAGAAUUCAAACCCGGCUGGAAAAGUAGCCGUAAUCAACUUGAAGCUGCAAGAUUAUGGAAAGAACCCUUCGGGAGAGACAGAAGUACAAUUUCGGCUAACGAGGAUCACACUGGAGCCUAUGUUGAGAUCCAUGGCCUAUAUUAGUCAGCAGCUCUCUGCACCAGCCAACAGAGUUGCUGUCAUCAAUCUGAAGCUCCAAGAUACAAAGACAACAACUGGAGAAACAGAGGUCAAAUUUCAAGUGUCUAGAGAUACACUAGGUUCCAUGUUGAGAUCAAUGGCUUAUAUCCGUGAGCAGCUAUGACAACCGUAAAAAUCCACGCAUUGUUUGAGGAUAAUCAUUUUGUAUAAACACAUACAGGAAGCAAAAAUGGGAAGAGAUUCAGAGCCUUCUAUUUUUUAUUUUUCGGCCACUCAGAUGACUAGCUGUGAGCCUGAGCCCAUCCCAACCUGCAAGGCAUGUCAGUUUCGUUAUAUUGUAUCAGUUAAUAGAGCUUCUUCCGGAUGGUGAAAUAUACAGAGUUGUGUUUUAAGCCCCCAGGCAAGCUGGGGAACACAGCAACUAAAUCAGGGCUGGCUGUCAUCAUCUAGUAAGACACAAAAAAUAAAGUACCGAAGGUGUGUCCUGGUUUAUAACCAUUUGUGUACAAUGUUAAUGUUUCAUUGACUGAAUGUGAUUUAGUUGCAGUUAAUUAGGUAUUGUUAAGCUACUCCUUGGAUUGCAUUUAGUUAGGUUUUGGCUUUCUAGGGUCUAGUAGUUUAUAUCGAUUUAACUUUCAAAUAUACAUCAUUUUCCUUGUAACCACGUCUUGGGAGCUUGUCUGUACAUGUAAGUUGUGAAUGAUCAAAUCAUUUCUAAACGAACUUUUUGUAAUUUGUAACUAAGCCUCAUAAAACAUCUAGUCUCUGAUUUCAAUUUGUUAUA